rnacentral:lncRNA from 1 species
AAAAGAUUAUGCGAUACUGAAUAUUUAAGCCCUUUAAGAAGACCUUUCACUUUUGUUGUCAUUUUACUUUACGCUAGCGUAAAAAAAAGAAAAAACUCAAGAACAACCAAAAUAAUAAAAUAAGAAAUAGAUGAUUAUAAUACAAUGUGUCGUCCGAGCAUUAAUAAAGAAAAAGAAGGGCAAGAGAACAUCAUUCAUUCAUGGUUCUACAGAGGAGUUUGGUUGGAUUGAGAUGCCAACAUUCCCUCUAUAGAAAAGAAAAUGGAAGUGAUGAUUGAUGUUGAAUAAGUUUUGUAUUAUUGGCCUGCCUCUUAGCUAGGAUGAUGAAUAUAAUGGUCUUCUGGUUUUUCAGGUAAUGAACUCAGACAAAUCUUGAUUGUUGAAGGCCAUGAACAACAACAACAACAACAACAAUCAAGAAGAAGAGAAAGAGGGAGAUUAAUUAAUGGGUGGUUUAGACGAAAAAAAAAUCUCAAAAUGUUGGGAAAAGGCUAACAAGCAACACAUGAUUAUUUUUUGUUGCAAACUGCAUCGUCUUCCAAUCUAAACUCUCCUCCAUAUCCUUCCCACCAAUAGACUUCCUAUUUUUCAGCCACAUCCACCAUAUUACCACUUUACUAAUAAAAGCCAUCUUUUUCUUUUGUUUUUUUUCAUCUUGCCCUUUGAUUUCAUUUUCUCUAAUAUACAAAAUUUAUAGAGUUAUUUAUGAUUAUAUAUGACUAUACUAGGUUUGUAACUUGCCCGUUCGUCCGUUUUUAUUUUAUUGAUAUAUUGUGUAAAAUUAUCUAAAACAUAUAUAAAUAUUUAGUGGUAACGAUUAUUUAGGUUUCAAGGUUUCGGUGGACCUGAGUUAAAUAAUUUAGUCAUACAGAGAAUGUGGAUUCAAGAAUCAUACGAUAUACUCUAGAGAAGGAUGAAUACGAGCCCGACUUUUUCGGAGGUAUAGUUUGAGGCGAUUUCUCGAGGCCUGUCUGCGAUCUAGGGUUUUCCCGAUGGUGGUUCCGGCGACGUCGCCAACGACGGCUAGCCCGUACCGUAAGCCCCAUGCUAACGUCCGCAGCCACCGGGCGAAAUAGAACGAACGAACCUUCAGAUUGUGCUUUUGUUGGAGAAGGAAGGCUCUUGAGAUCAUCUGUAGGAUUCAAAGGGCCACUCAUCGUCGUCUCUGGGGUAGAUUUGAAGUCAUGCAUCUGCAACAUAUUAUAUAUACUCACAAAAGUGAGUCUUACUGUAUAAUUUGAACUAAUGUAUUGCACUAAUUAAUAAACCAACAAGACAUACCCAACUAGGGGUGGUGGAAGAAGGGCCAUCGGAUCCGAUAUGUGCAACAUGUUUUACAUCGGUAGGAAACCCAAUCUCGAUUUCUUGUUCUUUCUCAUCUGCUAAAGCAAGGAAUCACUUUAUAUGAAAUUUAUGAUCAUCGAAGAAAGUAGUGGAAAAAAUAUUUUAACGUUUAAUUAAAAUGACUUACUAAAAAGAUUAUGCGAUACUGAAUAUUUAAGCCCUUUAAGAAGACCUUUCACUUUUGUUGUCAUUUUACUUUACGCUAGCGUAAAAAAAAGAAAAAACUCAAGAACAACCAAAAUAAUAAAAUAAGAAAUAGAUGAUUAUAAUACAAUGUGUCGUCCGAGCAUUAAUAAAGAAAAAGAAGGGCAAGAGAACAUCAUUCAUUCAUGGUUCUACAGAGGAGUUUGGUUGGAUUGAGAUGCCAACAUUCCCUCUAUAGAAAAGAAAAUGGAAGUGAUGAUUGAUGUUGAAUAAGUUUUGUAUUAUUGGCCUGCCUCUUAGCUAGGAUGAUGAAUAUAAUGGUCUUCUGGUUUUUCAGGUAAUGAACUCAGACAAAUCUUGAUUGUUGAAGGCCAUGAACAACAACAACAACAACAACAAUCAAGAAGAAGAGAAAGAGGGAGAUUAAUUAAUGGGUGGUUUAGACGAAAAAAAAAUCUCAAAAUGUUGGGAAAAGGCUAACAAGCAACACAUGAUUAUUUUUUGUUGCAAACU